rnacentral:rRNA from 1 species
UACGAAGGGGGCUAGCGUUGCUCGGAAUUACUGGGCGUAAAGGGCGCGUAGGCGGCACUGUUAGUCAGGCGUGAAAGUCCUGGGCUCAACCUGGGAACUGCGCUUGAUACGGCAGAGCUAGAGGAUGGAAGAGGGUCGCGGAAUUCCCAGUGUAGAGGUGAAAUUCGUAGAUAUUCGCAAGAACACCAGUGGCGAAGGCGGCUCACUGGCCCGGUACUGACGCUGAGGUGCGAAAGCGUGGGGAGCAAACAGG